AUUUUUAUGUGAUAUUGAUAAGUCCUUCAGUAGAACUUAUCAUCGGAAGAGAUUAAGGAGGGCUCAAAGAAAAAAUCACAUGUGAGACAGGGGAAGGUGGGGCCCCAUUAGUGUGCCCACACGUGUCAAUAACUACCGCGGGCCCUAUAAAUAUGGAAGAACAGGCCACGAUGAAAGACACGGGAAAAAGAAGUCUGAGCACGAGUUGGCGACGUUUGAAGCAGCUGGAAGGGGGCAUUCCCAGCGGUCGGUGGAGCUUUGCGUUUUUCUUUCUGAAUUUCUUGUUCUCUGUUUCUUCCUAUCAGUCUUGGACACUUAGACACUAUUCCGGAUUUCUGGUUUGGAAUUGAAGUUUUCUUGAAGCAAACUUUACUAUAUUGAGAAAUUCUUGCAUCAAGAUUAUUGGAGUUCUUUAUGGACUGAUUCAGUCCAUAACAUUGGUAUCAAAGCAAGCCGACCUUUGGUUUCUGGUUCCACCUCAGAUUUUCGCUGCAGAUUUCAUCGAUAUUUCGCCACUUCUCCUACCACAAUCUUACCUCAAGAGCAAUGGCCGAUAAUACUCCGGAUCGCCUAUCCUCUCACAACGACAAUACUUCAUUGGCGGAGGUUUUGACGCAAAUGGUACAAUAGCUCACACUGAUGAAUGCCAAAUUGGAUCUACAAGCUUCCACCUCAACUAAUACCACCAAUCAAGCAGAGCCUAAUCCGCACCAUGGCCCAAGGUACGAACGACCUCCUAUGAAUCAUGAUGUUGAAGGACCUUAUAAAACUCCCUUCCGAAACGGAGAUUUACCACUUUUCUCCGGCGAAAAUGCUCAAGCAUGGUUAAACACAGUUGAACGUUUUUUCUAUAUAAAUGCUGUACCAGAGGUCGAUAAGCUCCAUCUCAUUUCUUUGCAUUUUGAAGGACCAGCUCAAGGCUGGUUCGUCUAUACUGAGAAGCAGACUGGAUUUGAGAAUUAUCUGGAUUUUAAAAGGAAGUUUGAACGUCGUUAUGGUUUUUCUUCCAAAGUGUUAAAAGAAAAAUUGUUUAAUAUCCAUCAAACUCAUACAGUAUCCGAAUAUUGAACUGAAUUCGAGGAUUUGAUUGCAUAUCUACCUAAUUUGGAUGAAGAAACAUUGGAGACUGCAUACCUAAAUGGACUCAAGCCUGAAAUCAAGGUUGAAAUACCAAAAUAUCGGCCCUUUGGACUUCAACAAAUUAUGGAUGUUUCGCUUGAAGUAGAAGCCAGUUUACAGAUCAUUUGGGAAACUUGGCCCAACAACAUUCGCCAAGCCCUUUCAAGGCAAUCUACGGAGGCCAGACAGAGGCCUGCUGUACCACGCACCUUCCACACUACAACCGUGCCAGCUGCACAUAUUACUCAAGGGCUUUCACAUUCCAAAGAUACUACUUCAAUCCCGGCCAAGCCGGCUUCUACUGAGAACUUUACCAGGCCGCCGAGAAAGAAGAUUAUGAGACUAACCGAUGAAGAAUUUCAGCUUCGAAGAGAAAAAGGUCUCUAUUUCCAUUGCAAUGAAAAGUACACUCUAGGGCAUCGCUGUAAGUGAGAAAUAAAUAUUUUCCUCGUCCAAGAAGGGGACACCAAUGAAGAUAUACCCUGUUCCGAAGAAGACAUUAUGGAGGUUGACGAUGAUCCUGUCCUCCCGGGUUCCAUUUGUGCUGUUCGAUUGGGGGCCAGUGCUAAUGGGGCCAUUAAGGUUUGGGGAGAGUUUCUGGGUCUUUCAAUCAUCAUCCUCAUCGACGGUGGAGCUUCCUACAAUGUCAUCCACUCACGUUUGGUACAAGCAAGGAGCAUCCCGAUAGAAGGUAAUAUGAGGUGGGAUUUGAUUAUGGCCGACUGUUCUAUCCGCAGGGCAGAGGGACUAUGUUUGGACUUACCUAUAGUGAUACAAGGCCUGGGAUUCCAUCAAGACUUCAUUCCCUUCAACUUAGGGAAUAUCGAUAUGAUAUUGGGUAUACAAUGGUUAAAAUCCUUGGGGUAGUUCUCCUGCAAUAUGGAUCAAUUGUCUAUGAAAAUAUUGCGCGACGAUCAAAUCUAUACGAUAGAGGUGGAUAAGGAUCUCAACCCAGCUAAGGAGUUUCCAUUUGACCCUAUUCAGGCUCAUCAUGAUUGGCUUAGAUCCAUGGAGAAGACGAUUCAAACAUCCAGGAAACGGGAUCGACAACUCAUCAAGGUAUAUUCAUUAUUACUUGAUCCUUCCAUACUACAUCUGCAUCAGCAAUUUCCUUCGGUUUUUGAAGAUCCCGCCACCUUGCCUCCAAAAAGAUCCAUCGAUCACAAAAUUCCAUUAUUGCCUGGAUCAAAGCCCAUUAAUGUUCGUCCCUACCGAUACUCCCACCAGCACAAGAAUAUCUUGGAAAGAUUGGUCAGGGAAUUAGUGGACAGACAAUUAAUUCGACCUUCUACUAGUCUAUUUGCAAGCCCAGCCUUACUGGUUAAGAAAAAGGAAGGAGCUUGAAGGAUGUGUAUAAACUACAGAGCAUUGAGCAAAAUUACUAUUCUAGAUAGAUAUCCGAUUCCAAUCGUAGAUGAACUAAUGGAGGAACUUCACGGAAUGUGUAUAUUUUCCAAAUUAGAUCUUAAGUCUAGCUAUUAUCAAGUGAGGAUGGACCCAGUAGACAUUUAUAAAACGGCGUUCAAAACGCAUCAAGGCCACUAUGAAUUUGUGGUAAUGCCAUUUGGCCUGACUAAUGCCCCAGCUACUUUCCAAUCAUUGAUGAAUGACAUUUUUGCGUCAUACUUGCAGAAGUUUGUGCUAGUAUUUUUUGAUGACAUAUUAGUCUACAACGCUUCUACUCAAUUGCAUGAUACCCAUCUGGAAAAGAUCUUCCAACUCCUACAACAGCAUCAAUUGCAGAUCAAUGAGCUCAAAUGUUUAUUCUGUCAACCUCAACUGGAAUUCCUAGGACAUUUAAUUUCAUCCAAGGGAGUUGCAACAUCAAUGAAGAAGGUGGAGUCCAUUAUUUCUUGGCCCAGUCCUAAAACACUGAAACAGUUGUGGGAAUUUCUGGGAUUGGCUGGUUACUAUAGGUGUUUUGUCUCUAAUUUUACUACCAUAGCCUGCCCCCUUACUAAUUUACUCAAAAAAAAUUCUUUUAAGUGGUCACUAGAAGCUGAGGAAGCCUUCAAACUACUCAAGUCAGCAUUAUCGUCCACACCAACCCUGGCAUUACUUGAUUUCUCUCAGCACUUUGAUAUUGAGACAGAUGCAUCUGGAAGUGGUAUAGGAGCUGUAUUGCUGCAGAAUUCGCAACCCAUUGCCUUUUUUAGCCAAGCACUACCAAAAAACUCAAAAUAUACCUCUACUUAUGAACGAGAAUUUUUAGCAUUAGUAAGGGCAGUAACAAAAUGGAAGCAUUAUCUCUUAUUUCAGAAAUUUUUUAUCUAUACUGACCAUUUCAGUCUAAAAUUCCUAAACCAGCAAAAAGAUAUUCCUAUACACUAUCAUAAGUGGAUGUCCAAAUUAAUCGGGUUUGAUUUUGAGGUCCGUUAUAAACUAGGCACCAGAAAUGUCGUAGCUGACGCCCUAUCAAGAUCUCAGGAAGCAGUCCAAGUGGCUAUCAACAUGCUCAUGACCAGCCAUUGGAAAGACCGAAUUACCAUAGACCAAGAAAUACUGAACAAUGCUAAGUUGGCAAGAAUCAAGGCUAUUAUUGCAGAGGAUCCCCAGAAAAUUCCGCAUUAUUCAAUACAAGAGGAACUUUUGUGUUACAAAGGUCGAAUAGUUGUCACCAAAGAUUCAUCAAUAAUCCCCAAAAUCCUUCAUGAUUUCCACGACACCAAAACAAGGGGACAUGGAGGUUAUCACUAGACCUACCAUCGAAUUGCGCAACAACUAUUCUGGGAAGGCAUGAGGAAACGAAUUCAAACCUAUGUCAGUUAAUGCGAUAUUUGCCAAAGGCAGAAGUCGUCCCAUUUAUCCCCUGCAGGCUUACUUCAGCCCCUACCCAUUCCCAUUCAAAUAUGGGAGGAUAUAACGAUGGACUUUAUAGAGGGUCUACCAAAGUCACAAGGCUAUGACUCCAUCCUAGUAGUGGUCGAUCGUUUAAGUACAGCCAUUAUAUCCCAGUCAAACACCCCUUCUCAGCAGAAGAUAUAGCGGCCAUAUUUGUAAAGGAAAUUGUCCGUCUUCACAGGGUUCCCAACUCCAUCAUUUCGGACCGAGGUCGUCUGUUCUUAAGUAAUUUCUGGACGCAGCUACAUAAACUACAAGGGACCAAAAUACUUCUAAGUUCUUCAUACCAUCCUGAAACGGAUGGGCAGACUGGAGUCACUAAUAGAGGCUUGGAAUGUUAUCUAAGAUGCUUCACCUCCGAAAAUCCUAAGAAAUGGGUACAAUUUCUGCCAUGGGCUGAGUACCAUUACAACACAUCCGUUCAUACUUCACUGGGAAUGACGCCGUUCAAAGCAGUAUAUGGAAGAGAUCCUCCUUCCCUACUAAGAUACGGUUCACCCCCAACACCAAUUGACUCCCUAGAUACACUGUUGACAGAAAGAGAUUCACUCCUAGAACAACUCAAGAGCCACCUAGCCAAAGCUCAAAAUCGCAUGAAGGUCAAUGCAGACAAACAUAGAAGAGAUGAAGAGCUUUCAGAAGGAGAUAUGGUGUACUUGAAGAUCAAAUCUUAUAGAAUGAAAACCCUAGCCAGAAGGAUGAAUGAGAAGCUCAACCCGAAGUAUUUUGGGCCCUACAAGAUAAUCAAACGGAUAGGGGCAGUGGCUUACGAAUUGGAGCUCCCUGAUGAUACAUCCAUACACCCUGUUUUUCAUGUCUCUAAGCUCAAGAAAGCUCUGGGACCAAAUUGUCAAUCUAUAUCUAAUCCAUCUUUCUUAUCUCAUGAUUGGAUGUGACAGGUUCAACCUGAAUCAGUGCUUAACUUCAAGCCCACCCCGGCUGGACUUUUACUCCUCAUCAAGUGGAAGGGGUUGCCAGAGUGUGAAUCAACUUGGGAGAGCCUAUCCAACUUUGAAAGAAGCUUCCCAGACUUCAAAUUGGACAGCCACGCCAAAUUUGAUGGAGGGAGUAUUGAUAAGUCCUUCAGUAGAACUUAUCAUCGGAGGAGAUUAAGGAGGGCUUGAAGAAAAAAUCACACAUGAGACUGGGGAAGGUGGGGCCCCAUUAGUGUGCCCACACGUGUCAAUAACUACUGCGGGCCCUAUAAAUAUGGAAAAACGGGCCAUGAUGAAAGACACGGGAAAAAGAAGUCUGAGCACGAGUUGGCGACGUCCAAAGCAGCUGGAAGGGGGCAUUCCCAGCGGUCGGCGGAGCUUGCGUUUUUCUUUCUGAAUUUCUUGUUCUCUAUUUCUUCCUAUCAGUCUUGGACACCUACACACCAUUUCGGAUUUCUGGUUUGGAAUUGAAGUUUUCUUGAAGCAAACUUUACUAUAUUGAGAAAUUCUUGCAUCAAGAUUAUUGGAGUUCUUUAUGGACCGAUUCAGUCCAUAACAGAUAUUUAUAUA
rnacentral:lncRNA from 1 species